rnacentral:rRNA from 1 species
AUUGAACGCUGGCGGCAUGCCUAACACAUGCAAGUCGAGCGAGCGGCGGACGGGUGAGGAAUGUCUGGGAAACCGCCUGAUGGAGGGGGAUAACUACUGGAAACGGUAGCUAAUACCGCAUACCAUCAGACGUGUCCAGGUGGGAUUAGCUAGUGGGGGGGGUAACGGCUCACCUAGGCGACGAUCCCUAGCUGGUCUGAGAGGAUGACCAGCCACAUUGGAACUGGGACCCGGUCCAGACUCCUACGGGGGGCAGCAGUGGGGAAUAUUGCACAAUGGGGGCAAGCCUGAUACAGCCAUGCCGCGUGUGUGAAGAAGGCUUUCGGGUUGUAAAGCACUUUCAGCGGGGAGGCGUUACCCGCAGAAGAAGCACCGGCUAACUCCGUGCCAGCAGCCGCGGUAAUUC